GAUGAACGCUGGCGGCGUGCCUAAUACAUGCAAGUCGAGCGAACAGACGAGGAGCUUUCUCCUCUGACGUUAGCGGCGUACGGGUGAGUAACACGUGGAUAACCUACCUAUAAGACUGGGAUAACUUCGGGAAACCGGAGCUAAUACCGGGUAAUAUAUUGAACCGCAUGGUUCAAUAGUGAAAGACGGUUUUGCUGUCACUUAUAGAUGGAUCCGCGCCGCAUUAGCUAGUUGGUAAGGUAACGGCUUAACAAGGCAACGAUGCGUAGCCGACCUGAGAGGGUGAUCGGCCAGACUGGAACUGAGACACGGUCCAGACUCCUACGGGAGGAAGCAGUAGGGAAUCUUCCGCAAAGGGCGAAAGCCUGACGGAGCAAAGCCGCGUGAGUGAUGAAGGUCUUAGGAUCGUAAAACUCUGUUAUUAGGGAAGAACAAAUGUGUAAGUAACUAUGCACGUCUUGACGGUACCUAAUCAGAAAGCCACGGCUAACUACGUG
rnacentral:rRNA from 1 species